AAGUCGUAACAAGGUCUCUGUCGAGCAUCAGAGUGAUCCCUCUGUAGCGAAGCUUUGGAAGCCUUGGCUCACCCUACUAUGACUAUAGUAGGGCCUCGCGACUAUAAAUAAUGAGGUGCGCAGUGCCUGACUAGUGAUAGUUGGGUGCAUCACAAUCGAAUUGCGGGGACAUCCUAAAGCCAAGGGGUACUAACCUACCGUAGGAAUAUGGUAGGGGCCUGAGAUAGCCUCACAGGAGAUAGUAAUAACCCCCGAGGAUUCGGCAUCAUGCUGGAAUGGACGAUCCGCAGCGCACACCCGAGAACAGGGUGACGUUCACAGACUAAGUGAUUGUGGGCAUGAUUACAUAUCCUGCUUAAGAUAUAGUCGGGCCUGCCUAGAAAUGGGCGGGGUAUUCGCUGAAUACACAUCAACCGCUCCGUAGGUGAACCUGCGGAGGGAUCAUUACAGAGUUCAUGCUCUUACGGGUAGAUCUCCCACCCUAUGUUAUUAUUACUUUGUUGCUUUGGCGGGCCGUCAGGCUCACGCUUGACUACCGGCUCCGGCUGGUAAGCGCCCGCCAGAGGACCACAAACCCUGAAUAUUAGUGUCGUCUGAGUACUAGAUAAUAGUUAAA
rnacentral:misc_RNA from 1 species